UACGAAGGGGGCUAGCGUUGUUCGGAUUCACUGGGCUUAAAGGGCGCGUAGGCGGGUCAUCAAGUCUGGGGUGAAAUCCUUCGGCUCAACCGGAGAAGUGCCCCCGAUACUGGUGGUCUGGAGGGAGGUAGGGGUGUGUGGAACUUCCGGUGGAGCGGUGAAAUGCGUAGAUAUCGGAAGGAACGCCGGUGGCGAAAGCGACGCACUGGACCUCUUCUGACGCUGAGGCGCGAAAGCCAGGGGAGCAAACGGG
rnacentral:rRNA from 1 species